rnacentral:rRNA from 1 species
AUUGAACGCUGGCGGCAUGCCUCACACAUGCAAGUCGAACGGCAGCACGGGUGCUUGCACCUGGUGGCGAGUGGCGAACGGGUGAGUAAUAUAUCGGAACGUACCUUAUUGUGGGGGAUAACGCAGCGAAAGCUGUGCUAAUACCGCAUAAUCCCUAAGGGGGAAAGCGGGGGACCGUAAGGCCUCGCGCAAUUAGAGCGGCCGAUACCUGAUUAGCUAGUUGGUGAGGUAAAGGCUCACCAAGGCAACGAUCAGUAGCUGGUCUGAGAGGACGAUCAGCCACACUGGGACUGAGACACGGCCCAGACUCCUACGGGAGGCAGCAGUGGGGAAUUUUGGACAAUGGGGGCAACCCUGAUCCAGCAAUGCUGCGUGAGUGAAGAAGGCCUUCGGGUUGUAAAGCUCUUUUGUCAGGGAAGAAACAGCAGCUCUAACACAGUUUGCGAAUGACGGUACCUGAAGAAUAAGCACCGGCUAACUACGUGCCAGCAGCCGCCGUAA